rnacentral:rRNA from 1 species
AACGAACGCUGGCGGCAUGCCUAACACAUGCAAGUCGAACGAAGCCUCUGAUUUCGGUUGGGGUGCUUAGUGGCGCACGGGUGCGUAACGCGUGGGAAUCUGCCCUUGGGUUCGGAAUAACAGUUAGAAAUGACUGCUAAUACCGGAUGAUGUCUUCGGACCAAAGAUUUAUCGCCCAGGGAUGAGCCCGCGUAGGAUUA